CAUGUAGGCGGAUUAAUAAGUUUGAAGUGAAAUCCUAUAGCUUAACUAUAGAACUGCUUUGAAAACUGUUAGUCUAGAAUGUGGGAGAGGUAGAUGGAAUUUCUGGUGUAGGGGUAAAAUCCGUAGAGAUCAGAAGGAAUACCGAUUGCGAAGGCGAUCUACUGGAACAUUAUUGACGCUGAGAUGCGAAAGCGUGGGGAGCAAACA
rnacentral:rRNA from 1 species